CCUACGGGAGGCAGCAGUGGGGAAUAUUGCACAAUCGGGGAAACCCUGAUGCCGCGACGCCGCGUGAGCGAUGAAGUAUUUCGGUAUGUAAAGCUCUAUCAGCAGGGAAGAAAAUGACGGUACCUGACUAAGAAGCCCCGGCUAACUACGUGCCAGCAGCCGCGGUAAUACGUAGGGGGCAAGCGUUAUCCGGAUUUACUGGGUGUAAAGGGAUCGUAGACGGCUGUGCAAGCCAGAUGUGAAAGCCCGGGGCUCAACCCCGGGACUGCAUUUGGAACUGUGUGGCUGGAGUGUCGGAGAGGCAGGCGGAAUGCCUAGGGUAGCGGUGAAAUGCGUAGAUAUUAGGAGGAACACCAGUGGCGAAGGCGGCCUGCUGGACGAUGACUGACGUUGAGGCUCGAAAGCGUGGGGAGCAAACAGGAUUAGAUACCCGAGUAGUC
rnacentral:rRNA from 1 species